UUGAAAAAUCCUUAGGAUGUUGCUGGCCUUUCGGGGCAUGUGCACUCCGCCUUUUCAAUUCACCUGUGAACUCAUUGUAGGCUCAGAUGUAAAAAGUCUGAUGUCUAUGUUUUUUUAUAUACCCCUUUAAAAAGUUUAACAGAAUGUCUAAUAGACCUUAUGGUCGAAAUAUAAAUUAAUA
rnacentral:misc_RNA from 1 species